rnacentral:rRNA from 1 species
GACGAACGCUGGCGGCGUGCUUAACACAUGCAAGUCGAACGGUGAACGAGGGAGCUUGCUCCCUCCGGAUCAGUGGCGAACGGGUGAGUAACACGUGAGCAAUCUGCCCCGAACUCUGGGAUAAGCGUUGGAAACGACGUCUAAUACCGGAUACGACGCGGGAGGGCAUCCUCUCCGCGUGGAAAGAACUUCGGUUCGGGAUGAGCUCGCGGCCCAUCAGCUUGUUGGUGAGGUAACGGCUCACCAAGGCGACGACGGGUAGCCGGCCUGAGAGGGUGACCGGCCACACUGGGACUGAGACACGGCCCAGACUCCUACGGGAGGCAGCAGUGGGGAAUAUUGCACAAUGGGCGCAAGCCUGAUGCAGCAACGCCGCGUGAGGGACGACGGCCUUCGGGUUGUAAACCUCUUUUAGCAGGGAAGAAGCGAAAGUGACGGUACCUGCAGAAAAAGCACCGGCUAACUACGUG